rnacentral:rRNA from 1 species
UACGUAGGGCGCAAGCGUUGUCCGGAAUUAUUGGGCGUAAAGGGCUCGUAGGCGGUUCGUCACGUCGGGAGUGAAAACUCGGGGCUUAACCCCGAGCCUGCUUCCGAUACGGGCAGACUAGAGGUAGGCAGGGGAGAGCGGAACUCCUGGUGUAGCGGUGGAAUGCGCAGAUAUCAGGAGGAACACCGGUGGCGAAGGCGGGUCUCUGGGGCCGAUACUGACGCUGAGGAGCGAAAGCGUGGGGGAGCGAACAGG